UUGCAGCUCAUUUUUCUACUUCGUCCUGCAGAGUUCAAAGUGUGAUCUGCUAAACAAACAUGACGGUAACUAUAACAGAUUUUUGGCACAAAAGUUCUCACUACAUAGCUCUGUCUGGCCUUGAACUCACAACCCCUCUACUUUCAUCGGCCAAAUGCUCGGAUUACUGGCGCUUUCUACACUGGCUGACUAAUGGCGUUUAGUUCUUACCACGUGUUUUUAUCAUCGCCAGUUACCUUUGUUUGCUGUGACUGGAGAAGUGACCUCCCCGCUCCCGGCUCUUCCCUUGAAGGGGCUCAGGACACAGCAGCGCGCUCGUGCCGUGUGCGUCCAGUCUAGAAGGUGUGCCGCCGCCAUGACCUCUGCCGCCACCUUUCCCCCAAGUCUGCUCUCUAGUUAUUGAACCAGCGCGAUUGUUGCCAAACAGGACAUCUUCAUUAUAACUGCCUAGGAUUUUUGUUUGUGCAACAUUUGCGUGGACUUUUCUUCCGAUCCCCAGGAAAAUUGAAUGAAUGGAGAAGAAGCUUUACAGUAAUAAUUAUACCACAGGAAUGCCUGAGAAAAUAAGACAGUCUUAGGAGACUGGGCUAUUUAACUUCUUGAAUGAGGUAAUCUCGCGUAUGAGAAACCACGAAGCAUGAAGAAACACUGAUCCUCGAAGCCUUCCAGAUUCCAGCCUUACACGUCGCCAUGCCGAGCGGAUGCACAGUAGACGCUGGCUUCCCUGUCGCCGGCCGGCGUUCUCAGCGUUCCCUAGCCUGCAGGUUUCCCGCGCUAAUUUAGCACACCGCUCCCACUGUUUUGGUUUUUGGUUUUUGUUUUGUUUGUUUUUUUUUUCCUUCAGACAUUUGUCCUCUAAAAAUGUCCCUUAUUUGCAAAGGAAGCCCAUCGAGAGGAUUAUGGUAAUCUCUGUUCCUGAUUAAAAUUUUUCUGCUCAGUC